rnacentral:rRNA from 1 species
AAUAGAUACCCAGGUAGUCCACGCCGUAAACGGUGGGCACUAGGUGUGGGCGACAUUCCACGUCGUCCGUGCCGCAGGGAAGCCGUUAAGUCUGCCGCCUGGGGAGUACGGUCGCAAGACUGAAACUUAAAGGAAUUGGCGGGGGGAGCACCACAAGGGGGUGAAGCCUGCGGUUCAAUUGGAGUCAACGCCGGGAAUCUUACCGGGGGGCGACAGCAGUGUGAAGGUCAAGCUGAAGACUUUACCAGACAAGCUGAGAGGAGGUGCAUGGCCGUCGCCAGCUCGUGCCGUGAGGUGUCCUGUUAAGUCAGGUAACGAGCAAGAUCCCUGCCUCUAGUUGCUACCACUGUUCUCAGGAACGGAGGGGCUAAUUAGAGGGGACCGCCGCCGCUGAGGCGGAGGAAGGAGGGGGGCUACGGGCAGGGUCAGUAUGCCCCGAAACCCUCGGGCCACACGCGGGCUGCAAUGGUAAGGACAACGGGUCCCAAUACCGAAAGGUGGAGGCAAUCCCACAAACCUUACCUCAGUUAUGAUUGAGGGCUGAAACUCGCCCUCAUGAAU